rnacentral:rRNA from 1 species
UACGUAGGGUGCAAACGUUGUUCGGAAUUACUGGGCGUAAAGCGCGUGUAGGCGGCUCUGCAAGUCAGGUGUGAAAUCCCACGGCUCAACCAUGGAAGUGCACUUGAAACUGCAGGGCUAGAGUCCUGGAGAGGAAGGUGGAAUGCUUGGUGUAGAGGUGAAAUUCGUAGAUAUCAAGCGGAACACCGGUGGCGAAGGCGGCCUUCUGGACAGUGACUGACGCUGAGACGCGAAAGCGUGGGGAGCAAACAGG